AUGAACGCUGGCGGCGUGCCUCAUCCCUGCAAGUCGAGCGCACAGACGAGGAGCUUGCUCCUCUGACGUUAGCGGCGGACGGGUGAGUAACACGUGGAUAACCUACCUAUAAGACUGGGAUAACUUCGGGAAACCGGAGCUAAUACCGGAUAACAUGUUGAACCGCAUGGUUCAACAGUGAAAGACGGUUUUGCUGUCACUUAUAGAUGGAUCCGCGUCGCAUUAGCUAGUUGGUAAGGUAACGGCUUACCAAGGCAACGAUGCGUAGCCGACCUGAGAGGGUGAUCGGCCACACUGGAACUGAGACACGGUCCAGACUCCUACGGGAGGCAGCAGUAGGGAAUCUUCCGCAAUGGGCGAAAGCCUGACGGAGCAACGCCGCGUGAGUGAAGAAGGUCUUCGGAUCGUAAAACUCUGUUAUUAGGGAAGAACAAAUGUGUAAGUAACUAUGCACGUCUUGACGGUACCUAAUCAGAAAGCCACGGCUAACUACGUG
rnacentral:rRNA from 1 species